ACCUCAGGGAAAAAGCUGUUUACCUUAAGAUGAGAUAUACCUUAUGAGCACUAAGCAAACAGAGUAAUUGUAAUAUUUUAAUAGCUAUGUUUACAUGCAGAUCUUGAGAUUAUUUCUGCAUUAGGUGAUUUAUAGGGCUAUAUUAAGUAAAACACAUCUGGAAUGCUCUUCCAAAGGAUGAGUCACAAAAUGCUACCAUCUUCCCUUUCCCCUUUCCAGAGAGAACUCCAAGGGGCAAGAGGGAAAAGGACUCCCUCUCUACACUUCAUCCCAAUCUCAGUGCUAAUGAAGAAAUCGCCUGUAAAUUAGCAAGCGUCAGUUCGCUAAUUAUUAUUAAUUAUUCGAUGUUUUGUUUCCAUUGCUAUGUCUGUUUAAAGAAAAUUUAUCAAACCCAGAAUUUCACAGAAAUGAAUUUAUGUGGAAAAAAUAGCCAAAACUAUUGUAAGAAAACCUCAUCAUCUCUAAUACUCUGGUUUCUACAGGCUGAAAUAAUU
rnacentral:lncRNA from 1 species